UCUUCGAAUUCCGGAAUAAUUGAUUUACUUUCGACGCGGUCACCUUGAGUCCGAUCAAUGUUCGAUACGGAACAGAACACAGAUGAAUUCACAUCACGGAAUGAAAUAUUGAAAUCGUCGAUCAAGCACGUUCUUUCGAUGCGGAGGAUAAGACGCUAACACUCGCGAAAGUAUUUUUAAAUAACCGUUCGAAAUAUCGAUGCACACGUUCCAGUUAGACAGAAUAAGAAUUUCAAACGAUUGAAAUAUUUUUAAAAAUUACGGGGCAACAAUACGAACGAAUAAAUAUAGCCGAAGGAAGAGAACGUUACGAUCGAGUGUCUGUCGUGGCCGACGACUAACUGUCGACACUCGAGACAGAAGCAACCGGUUUGCUCGAUCUAGGUCUAACUCAUCCAACUCGAAUCCAACAUCAAAGAAAACUGAAAAAAAUAUUUGCUGAAACAAGCGUUAUAUCAUUUUUCAAUUCCAUCCAAGGAAUGUCUUCAAGUUUAAACAAUGAAAGUCGCGAACGCUAUCCACGUGAAUGCUUGGGCAUUGUUUAACUGUUAACGAAGCGAUGUUAGAUAAGCAUCAAAUUGGCACGCAUAAGCCAAUUUACUUCAGAUUAAAACGAUAACUUUACACACGCCGUAUGGUGUUUCUUUACCUUCAUGGAUCAUGGAUCUUUCGCGCAUGGAUCAUGGAUGAUGAACUUGUAUGAUUCGAAUGAGAGAUAAUAUAGGAGAGCGUCAGUAAAAGAUUGAAUGUAAUAUUUACAACAAAUUAUUUUAUCAUAAUGGUUAUAGAUAAUUACAAAGAUUCGUAAGACAACAAUGUAUAAUCAGCUUUCAUGUAGAAUUUUGAUCUGAAAAACGAUGCGGUAAAAAUUUGUAUUAUAACGUAAGAUGUUCGAUUUGCAAGUGACCGCAACAUUGAUGUACAUUUGUUAAAUCUAUAAUGUUAUACCGCGUAUAUGUUGUUAUUUAUCGUUCAAGUAGGAACGUAAAUGUAUUAUUCUAGUCUUGAAAUAAAUUUCAAAUAAC